GAUGAACGCUGGCGGCGUGCCUAAUACAUGCAAGUCGAGCGAAUGGAUUAAGAGCUUGCUCUUAUGAAAUUAGCGGCGGACGGGUGAGUAACACGUGGGUAACCUGCCCAUAAGACUGGGAUAACUCCGGGAAACCGGGGCUAAUACCGGAUAACAUUUUGAACCGCAUGGUUCGAAAUCGAAAGGCGGCUUCGGCUGUCACUUAUGGAUGGACCCGCGUCGCAUUAGCUAGUUGGUGAGGUAACGGCUCACCCAGGCAACGAUGCGUAGCCGACCUGAGAGGGUGAGCGGCGACACUGGGACUGAGACACGGCGCAGGCUCCUACGGGAGGCAGCAGUAGGGAAGCUGCCGCAGUGGACGAAAGUCUGACGGAGCAACGCCGCGUGAGUGAUGAAGGCUUGCGGGUCGUGAAACUCUGGUGUUAGGGAAGAACAAGUGCUAGUUGAAUAAGCUGGCACCUUGACGGUACCUAACCAGAAAGCCACGGCUAACUACGUGCCAGCAGCCGCCGCGG
rnacentral:rRNA from 1 species